CAGCAGCCGCGGUAAUACGGAGGGUGCAAGCGUUAAUCGGAAUUACUGGGCGUAAAGCGCACGCAGGCGGUUUGUUAAGUCAGAUGUGAAAUCCCCGAGCUUAACUUGGGAACUGCAUUUGAAACUGGCAAGCUAGAGUCUUGUAGAGGGGGGUAGAAUUCCAGGUGUAGCGGUGAAAUGCGUAGAGAUCUGGAGGAAUACCGGUGGCGAAGGCGGCCCCCUGGACAAAGACUGACGCUCAGGUGCGAAAGCGUGGGGAGCAAACAGGAUUAGAGACCCGCGUAGUCCCUGUCUCUUAUAC
rnacentral:rRNA from 1 species